AGUAACGCGUGGGAAUCUACCCAACUCUACGGAAUAACUCAGGGAAACUUGUGCUAAUACCGUAUACGCCCUUCGGGGGAAAGAUUUAUCGGAGAUGGAUGAGCCCGCGUUGGAUUAGCUAGUUGGUAGGGUAAAGGCCUACCAAGGCGACGAUCCAUAGCUGGUCUGAGAGGAUGAUCAGCCACAUUGGGACUGAGACACGGCCCAAACUCCUACGGGAGGCAGCAGUGGGGAAUAUUGGACAAUGGGCGCAAGCCUGAUCCAGCCAUGCCGCGUGAGUGAUGAAGGCCCUAGGGUUGUAAAGCUCUUUCACCGGUGAAGAUAAUGACGGUAACCGGAGAAGAAGCCCCGGCUAACUUCGUGCCAGCAGCCGCGGUAAUACGAAGGGGGCUAGCGUUGUUCGGAAUUACUGGGCGUAAAGCGCACGUAGGCGGGUAUUUAAGUCAGGGGUGAAAUCCCGGAGCUCAACUCCGGAACUGCCUUUGAUACUGGGUACCUAGAGUAUGGAAGAGGUAAGUGGAAUUCCGAGUGUAGAGGUGAAAUUCGUAGAUAUUCGGAGGAACACCAGUGGCGAAGGCGGCUUACUGGUCCAUUACUGACGCUGAGGUGCGAAAGCGUGGGGAGCAAACAGGAUUAAGAAACCUGGUAGUCCACGCCGUAAACGAUGAAUGUUAGCGAUCGGCAUUCAUGCAUGUCGGUGGCGCAGCUUACGCCUGGACAUAACCCUUUGGGGAGGGCGG
rnacentral:rRNA from 1 species